CACAGAUCUACAGCUCAGAGCACAGACAACAUUAACACACACCUGAUCUGACAGUCAACAUGGAAAAACACCUGCUUCUGAUUUUAAUUCUGACUUCAGGUGUGAUAAGUGCAGACCAGAUUGGACCAAAUCAAGAAACUAGUGUCAUAAAAAAGGAAGACGAGACUGUGACCCUCAGCUGCUCAUAUGAAGCAAGCAGCAGUUAUGUUGAUCUGUACUGGUACAGACAGUAUCUUAAUGGAGAGCUUCACUAUUUAAUAUAUAAGUAUUCAGGUGGUGGAGGUGGCAGCCCAGCUGAUCCUCGCUUUCAGUCGACUACACCACAAUCAUCCACUAAACUCACUAUUACUGGUGUAACUCUGUCAGAUUCAGCUCUCUAUUAUUGUGCUCUAAGAUAUCCCGAAUCAGCUCCUCAGUUCAUUGUACUAAUCACAGACAGCACAAAAGAAGAUCAGAAGUCUAAUGUAGAUUCCAGAUUCACAGCCAGAGUCACUAAAGACAAAGAAAACCAUGUGGAUGUGGAGAUCUCCUCUGCAUCUAUAUCAGACUCUGCUCUGUACUACUGCGCUCUGGAGCCCACAGUGACAGGAAACACAUGA